rnacentral:rRNA from 1 species
UAGGGAAUCUUCCACAAUGGACGAAAGUCUGAUGGAGCAACGCCGCGUGAGUGAAGAAGGGUUUCGGCUCGUAAAACUCUGUUGUUAAAGAAGAACAUAUCUGAGAGUAACUGUUCAGGUAUUGACGGUUAUUUAACCAGAAAGCCACGGCUAACUACGUGCCAG